GAUGAACGCUAGCGGGAUGCUUAACACAUGCAAGCCGAGGGAAAAGUUGUUUUCGUUCCACGUACACCGUCGGACGGGUGAGUAACAGGUAUGCAACUUUCCUCUAUCAGUGGGAUAACCCUGGGAAACCCGGACUAAUACCGCAUAACAAAUAGAUCAUCAUUGGUUUAUUUUAAAAGAUUUAUCGGAUAGUGAUGGGCAUGCUUAGGAUUAGUUAGUUGGUGAGGUAACUGCUAACCAAGACGAUGUUCCUUAGGGGGCCUGGGAGGGUGAUCCACCAGAACGGUAACGCGACCCGGACCAGAAUCGUACGCGAGGCAGCAGUGAGGAAUAUAGGGCGCUGAGUGAGGGCCUGAUACAGCCACGCCGGGUGCAGGAAGACGGCGAUAGGGGUUGUAAACUGCUUUUAUAGAGGAAUAAUCCUACUAACGUGUGAGUAGUUGAAGGUACUGUAAGAAUAAGCAUCGGCUAACUACGUG
rnacentral:rRNA from 1 species